AGAACGAACGCUGGCGGCAGGCCUCAAACAUGCAAGUCUAGGGGGCGUAGCAAUACGUCACCGGCGGACGGGUGCGUAACACGUGGGAAUGUACUUACUGGUUCGGAACAACUCAGGGAAACUUGAGCUAAUACCGAAUGUGCCCGAAAGGGGAAAGAUUUAUCGCCAAUAAAUCAGCCCGCGUCCGAUUAGCUAGUUGGUGGGGUAAAGGCCCACCAAGGCGACGAUCGGUAGCUGUUCUGAGAGGAAGAUCAGCCACACUGGGACUGAGACACGGCCCAGACUCCUACGGGAGGCAGCAGUUGGGAAUCUUGGACAAUGGGGGAAACCCUGAUCCAGCCAUGCCGCGUGAGUGAUGAAGGCCUUCGGGUUGUAAAACUCUUUCGACGGGACGAUAAUGACGGUACCCGUAGAAGAAGCUCCGGCUAACUUCGCGCCAGCAGCCGC
rnacentral:rRNA from 1 species